AAAUACAUUAAUUGAAGAGAAAAGACAAAAAUCCUAAAAGAUAGGUUAAUUAAUAACUUCAGUGGCAUGCUAUUGUAAAUAUAGUGGAAAACUAAGGGAUAAUCUAAUUUUGUACUCCUCUUUUAAUAGAUUAGAUGGUCAUUUUUCCUUUUUGAAGGCUAGUUUUACUAAAAAACUAUCAGAAUUUCUCUAAAAAGUUUUAAUAAUAAAAUAGAUUAAAGGAUUAAAUAUUUGACUUGGAUCACCGAAAUUAAAAUUUGUUUUGAUUUUGGCGAAGAGAAUACCAAAAUCUAGGCAUGUGACAAAAUAUAAUGAGCGAGUCAAAGUCAAUUAAUCAGAGUGAUGUGAUUGGUUCUUUAUCAUGCAAGUGUAACGCCAUAAACGAUUUGGCCGAUGAGUAUAAUAGUAAAAUGGUUAUAAACCCCCCCUCCCCCCCCCCCCCCCCCAAUAAGAAUCCAAGACGAACGCGCGGCGCGUUUGUAGCUCAUAUGUAUCCCCGGAUCCCGCCUUUUGCUUUUCACCCAUCAUUUAAAAACUCUCUCUCUCUCUCUUCGCUGGCUUAGACGAGGAACAAGAAUUGGAGAAAAUUUUGUCUGGGCCCUGAGAAUCUAGGGUUUAGAUUUCAUUCUGCCGUUCUCCGAUUCGAUUCUAUAAUCUUAUUUCAUCUGGCACGGAUCAUAAAUUAACUCAUUGGUGAUUAAUGGUUUAGACCUUUCAUUGUGGAAUUGAACAGAGUUGAAUGAUGGAAGAUGUCUUAAUGAGUGGUUGAUUAAUUCUGGUUCUGAUAGUCCGUUUAUAUUCGGAUGGCUUGUUACUGGAUUACUUGGGCAUCCACCUGCUGCGUUUGUCUCUACUCUCUUGUUCCAGGCCAGAAUGUUUCCAAAAAGGCAGCUCUGAGUAUUCCUGUCAACACUAAAGUCAUCAGAGACAACUGUUGUUUCUGGUUACAGUGUAAUGCUUCUUGAACUCGUUUUGGUCAACGCACCGUCUACUUUUCCCGCUGGGAGGAAGAAGAAAAAAAUCAUUCUCUUGCUUGAUUAUGCAAAGACUUGAAUUGUCUGACAAGACUGAAACCUAAUCUUUAGUUGUUGGAUUCCUAUGCAGUGGCUAUUCUCUGCGCACAAACCUAACCCAGAAUAUAGACUUUCUGGAGUGGUUUAAAGCUGCUUCAAAGGAUUGGUAGUUUAAGAUGAUAGCUGAGAGAGAUGAGUGAGUGAGUGAGUGGGAACAGGUUGAAGAAGUUGGACUUAUAAAGUAAUAUCUCGACAUGCUAGUUGUAUUGAAACACUACAUUUAUUUGUGUGACAUAAACUAGUUGUGUGUUUGUAUAUAAUCAAUGAAUAUUGUGGUAUACUGGUAUGA